GAUGAAGAACGUAGCGAAAUGCGAUAAGUAAUGUGAAUUGCAGAAUUCAGUGAAUCAUCGAAUCUUUGAACGCACAUUGCGCCCCCUGGUAUUCCGGGGGGCAUGCCUGUCCGAGCGUCAUUACAACCCUCAAGCUCAGCUUGGUGUUGGGCCCCGCCGCCCCGGCGGGCCCUAAAGUCAGUGGCGGUGCCGUCCGGCUCCGAGCGUAGUAAUUCUUCUCGCUCUGGAGGUCCGGUCGUGUGCUCGCCAGCAACCCCCAAUUUUUUUCAGGUUGACCUCGGAUCAGGUAGGGAUACCUGCUGAACUUAAGCAUAUCAAUAAGCGGAGGA
rnacentral:misc_RNA from 1 species